rnacentral:rRNA from 1 species
UACGUAGGGUGCAAGCGUUGUCCGGAAUUAUUGGGCGUAAAGAGCUCGUAGGCGGUUUGUUGCGUCGGCUGUGAAAUCCCGAGGCUCAACCUCGGGUCUGCAGUCGAUACGAGCAAACUAGAGUGUUGCAGGGGAGACUGGAAUUCCUGGUGUAGCGGUGGAAUGCGCAGAUAUCAGGAGGAACACCGAUGGCGAAGGCAGGUCUCUGGGCCACUACUGACGCUGAGAAGCGAAAGCAUGGGGAGCGAACAGG